rfam:Desulfuromonas acetoxidans DSM 684 ctg49, whole genome shotgun sequence.
CAGCCCUUAAAUCUCCGAGCCGCUACCACCUACGAGCGUGAUCAUGGUGGUCCGGCCGCCAGGUGGUCCCGGAAACGGUAUCGCCCCCCAUGUUUGGAAAGGAGAUUUCCGCCAUGAGCG